GCCCUAAAUUCAGCCUAACUCUCCCCCCAUGAAACUGUACCAUAAUUAUUACCCCAUAAAACAUUUUUACUAUUUAGUAGAGGAGAUUAAAAAAUUUCUUAGCGCUUUAAAUAGAGUACCGCAAGGAAUAAUGAAAUAGAAAUGAAACAACAUUAAAGCAUAAAAAAGCAGAGAUUUUUCCCCUCGUACCUUUUGCAUCAUGGUCUAGCUAGUCUACCAAGCAAAAAGAAUUUUAGUUUGACCCCCCGAAACUAAGUGAGCUACUCCAAAGCAGCCUAAUGGGCCAACCCGUCUCUGUUGCAAAAUAGUGGGAAGACUUUAGAGUAGUGGUGACAAGCCUACCGAACUUAGAGAUAGCUGGUUGCUCAGAAAAAGAAUCUUAGUUCUGCCUUAAAUUUUUUUAUGCCAUCAAACAACACAUUAAACUUAAGAGUUAGUCAAAUAAGGGACAGCUUAUUUGACACAGGACACAACCUAAAAUAGAGGGUAAAUAACCUAAAACAGUUUCUAAGUGGGCCUAAAAGCAGCCACCUUUGAAAAAGCGUUAAAGCUUAACUAACCCUAUAUCGUAAUUAGACAAACAACAGUAAACCCCUCCCCAAUACUGAACAACUCCAUAAGCUAUGGAAGAUAUAAUGCUAGAACUAGUAACAAGAAACAGAGUUCUCCAAAAUGUAAGCAUAAACCUAACUGGACAAGCCAUAGGAAAUUAACGUCUCUGAGCAUAUUAUAGUAACCUUUUACUAGAGAAACCUAUAAUCUUCUACGUUAUCCUGACACUAGAACAUUUCUGGAAAGAUUAAAAGAGAAAGAAGGAACUCGGCAAAUCUUAGCCCCGCCUGUUUACCAAAAACAUCGCCUCUUGCUUAAUUAUAAGAGGUCCAGCCUGCCCAGUGACAAAGUUUAACGGCCGCGGUACCCUAACCGUGCGAAGGUAGCAUAAUCACUUGUUCUUUAAAUAAGGACUUGUAUCAACGGCAUCACGAGGGCUAUACUGUCUCCUUUCUCCAAUCAGUGAAACUGAUCUCCCCGUGAAGAAGCGGGGAUUAACCUAUAAGACGAGAAGACCCCAUGGAGCUUCAAGCCAAGAAGCAACUUUUUACUUCAUGACCUUAAAACCCUCAAGUUAUGCUUGCCGGCUUUGGUUGGGGUGACCGCGGAGAAUAUGUAACCUCCACGUAGUAAAGGACCUCCUUAUCCAAGAAUGACAAUUCAAAGGAGCCAUAAAAAUACCACACAAUGAUCCGAAAUUCGAUCAACGGACCAAGUUACCCUGGGGAUAACAGCGCAAUCCAUUUCAAGAGCUCCUAUCGACAAAUGGGUUUACGACCUCGAUGUUGGAUCAGGGUAUCCCAGUGGUGCAGCCGCUACUAAAGGUUCGUUUGUUCAACGAUUAAAACCCUA
rnacentral:rRNA from 1 species